rnacentral:rRNA from 1 species
GGUAAAGGCCUACCAAGACAAUGAUGCAUAGCCGAGUUGAGAGACUGAUCGGCCACAUUGGGACUGAGACACGGCCCAAACUCCUACGGGAGGCUGCAGUAGGAAUCUUCCACAAUGGGCGAAAGCCUGAUGGAGCAACGCCGCGUGUGUGAUGAAGGCUUUCGGGUCGUAAAGCACUGUUGUAUGGGAAGAAAAGUUAAGGUAGGGAAUGACCUUAGCCUGACGGUACCAUACCAGAAAGGGACGGCUAAAUACGUGCCAGCAGCCGCGGUAAUACGUAUGUCCCGAGCGUUAUCCGGAUUUAUUGGGCGUAAAGCGAGCGCAGACGGUUGGUUAAGUCUGAUGUGAAAGCCCGGAGCUCAACUCCGGAAAGGCAUUGGAAACUGGUUAACUUGAGUGCAGUAGAGGUAAGUGGAACUCCAUGUGUAGCGGUGGAAUGCGUAGAUAUAUGGAAGAACACCAGCGGCGAAGGCGGCUUACUGGACUGUAACUGACGUUGAGGCUCGAAAGUGUGGGUAGCAAACAGGAUUAGAUACCCUGGUAGUCCACACCGUAAACGAUGAACACUAGGUGUUAGGAGGUUUCCGCCUCUUAGUGCCGAAGCUAACGCAUUAAGUGUUCCGCCUGGGGAGUACGACCGCAAGGUUGAAACUCAAAGGAAUUGACGGGGACCCGCACAAGCGGUGGAGCAUGUGGUUUAAUUCGAAGCAACGCGAAGAACCUUACCAGGUCUUGACAUCCUUUGAAGCUUUUAGAAAUAGAAGUGUUCUCUUCGGAGACAAAGUGACAGGUGGUGCAUGGUCGUCGUCAGCUCGUGUCGUGAGAUGUUGGGUUAAGUCCCGCAACGAGCGCAACCCUUAUUGUUAGUUGCCAGCAUUCAGAUGGGCACUCUAGCGAGACUGCCGGUGACAAACCGGAGGAAGGCGGGGACGACGUCAGAUCAUCAUGCCCCUUAUGACCUGGGCUACACACGUGCUACAAUGGCGUAUACAACGAGUUGCCAACCUGCGAAGGUGAGCUAAUCUCUUAAAGUACGUCUCAGUUCGGACUGCAGUCUGCAACUCGACUGCACGAAGUCGGAAUCGCUAGUAAUCGCGGAUCAGCACGCCGCGGUGAAUACGUUCCCGGGUCUUGUACACACCGCCCGUCACACCAUGGAAGUUUGUAAUGCCCAAAGCCGGUGGCCUAACCGUAAGGAGGGAACCGUC